rnacentral:rRNA from 1 species
ACCAGACUCCUACGGGAGGCAGCAGUGGGGGAUAUUGCACAAUGGGGGGAACCCUGAUGCAGCGACGCCGCGUGGGUGAAGAAGCGCCUCGGCGCGUAAAGCCCUGUCAGCAGGGAAGAAAAUGACGGUACCUGAAGAAGAAGCCCCGGCUAACUACGUGCCAGCAGCCGCGGUAAUACGUAGGGGGCAAGCGUUAUCCGGAUUUACUGGGUGUAAAGGGAGCGUAGACGGCCAUGCAAGCCAGGGGUGAAAGCCCGGGGCCCAACCCCGGGACUGCCCUUGGAACUGUGCGGCUAGAGUGCGGGAGGGGCAGGCGGAAUUCCUGGUGUAGCGGUGAAAUGCGUAGAUAUCAGGAGGAACACCGGCGGCGAAGGCGGCCUGCUGGACCGCGACUGACGUUGAGGCCCGAAAGCGUGGGGAGCGAACAGGAUUAGCUACCCUUGUA